rnacentral:misc_RNA from 1 species
GGAGAAUUUACAACCUGAAAAAUCCAAGCCUAGUGUCAAUGUCCUGUGAAGUAUCAAACUAUGCAAAACAGCCUUCCAACACAAUGAAACACCAGAAUGUUUAUUGGCCUGAGGAGGCUUAGAAAGGUUCUCAUCAAGUAUGCAUGUCGUUUCAAAGAUUCUUCAUAAUAAAUGAACAGGUAACAGACACAAAUUAGUCCAGUAAUAUUUGCUGCAUCCCAGAACAUGUGGAACUGAAUAAUAUUAACAGAACUGCCUAAGAAACAGCGUGAGCAUCAACAUGGCUAUUCAUUUUGGGCACUUGGGCGUUUGCAUCUACGUCCUCAGUCAAGUAUACUUUCUAUAUGUAUUCAACUCGGCACAUGUUAUAAUUGCUGCUAUAAUAGGCUCUACUAAUUGAACCUAGUGGUGUA